rnacentral:rRNA from 1 species
UGGGGAAUUUUUCGCAAUGGGGGAAACCCUGACGAAGCAACGCCGCGUGGAGGAUGAAGGCCUUCGGGUCGUAAACUCCUGUCGACCGGGACGAACGCUAUCCGACCAAAUACGUCGGGUAGUCGACUGUCCCGGGUGAGGAAGCCCCGGCUAACUCUGUGCCAGCAGCCGCGGUAAUACAGAGGGGGCAAGCGUUGUUCGGAAUUACUGGGCGUAAAGGGCGCGUAGGCGGCCUUCUAAGUCGAACGUGAAAUCCCUGGGCUCAACCCAGGAACUGCGUCCGAUACUGGAAGGCUUGAAUCCGGGAGAGGGAUGCGGAAUUCCAGGUGUAGCGGUGAAAUGCGUAGAUAUCUGGAGGAACACCGGUGGCGAAGGCGGCAUCCUGGACCGGUAUUGACGCUGAGGCGCGAAAGCGUGGGGAGCAA